GACGAACGCUGGCGGCGUGCUUAACACAUGCAAGUCGAACGGAAAGGCCCUGCUUUUGUGGGGUGCUCGAGUGGCGAACGGGUGAGUAACACGUGAGUAACCUGCCCUUGACUUUGGGAUAACUUCAGGAAACUGGGGCUAAUACCGGAUAGGAGCUCCUGCUGCACGGUGGGGGUUGGAAAGUUUCGGCGGUUGGGGAUGGACUCGCGGCUUAUCAGCUUGUUGGUGGGGUAGUGGCUUACCAAGGCUUUGACGGGUAGCCGGCCUGAGAGGGUGACCGGCCACAUUGGGACUGAGAUACGGCCCAGACUCCUACGGGAGGCAGCAGUGGGGAAUAUUGCACAAUGGGCGGGAGCCUGAUGCAGCAACGCCGCGUGCGGGAUGACGGCCUUCGGGUUGUAAACCGCUUUCGCCUGUGACGAAGCGUGAGUGACGGUAAUGGGUAAAGAAGCACCGGCUAACUACGUG
rnacentral:rRNA from 1 species